rnacentral:rRNA from 1 species
AGUGAACGCUGGCGGUAGGCCUAACACAUGCAAGUCGAACGGCAGCACAGUAAGAGCUUGCUCUUACGGGUGGCGAGUGGCGGACGGGUGAGGAAUACAUCGGAAUCUACUUUUUCGUGGGGGAUAACGUAGGGAAACUUACGCUAAUACCGCAUACGACCUACGGGUGAAAGCAGGGGAUCUUCGGACCUUGCGCGAUUGAAUGAGCCGAUGUCGGAUUAGCUAGUUGGCGGGGAAAAGGCCCACCAAGGCGACGAUCCGUAGCUGGUCUGAGAGGAUGAUCACCCACACUGGAACUGAUACACCGUCCUGGCCCCUACGGCAGGCAGCAGUAGGGAAUAUUGGACAAUGGGCGGAAGCCUGAUCCAGCCAUACCGCGUGGGUGAAGAAGGCCUUCGGGUUGUAAAGCCCUUUUGUUGGGAAAGAAAAGCAGCAGGUUAAUACCCCGCUGUUCUGACGGUACCCAAAGAAUAAGCACCGGCUAACUUCGUG